rnacentral:rRNA from 1 species
GCCCUAGUAACGGCGAGUGAAGCGGCAACAGCUCAAAUUUGAAAUCUGGCCCUAGGGUCCGAGUUGUAAUUUGUAGAGGAUGCUUUUGGCGCGGUGCCUUCCGAGUUCCCUGGAACGGGACGCCUUAGAGGGUGAGAGCCCCGUACGGUUGGACACCAAGCCUCUGUAAAGCUCCUUCGACGAGUCGAGUAGUUUGGGAAUGCUGCUCUAAAUGGGAGGUAAAUUUCUUCUAAAGCUAAAUACCGGCCAGAGACCGAUAGCGCACAAGUAGAGUGAUCGAAAGAUGAAAAGCACUUUGAAAAGAGGGUUAAAUAGCACGUGAAAUUGUUGAAAGGGAAGCGUUUGCGACCAGACCUUUUCCUGGCGGAUCAUCCGGUGUUCUCACCGGUGCACUUCGCCAGGUUUAGGCCAGCAUCGGUUUCUGCGGGGGGAUAAAAGCUUGGGGAACGUGGCUCCUUCGGGAGUGUUAUAGCCCCUUGCAUAAUACCCCCGCGGGGACCGAGGACCGCGCUUUGCAAGGAUGCUGGCAUAAUGGUCGUCAACGACCCGUCUUGAAACACGGACCAAGGAGUCGAACAUUUGUGCGAGUGUUUGGGUGUUAAACCCUCACGCGUAAUGAAAGUGAACGGAGGUGAGAGCCCUUUAGGGUGCAUCAUCGACCGAUCCUGAUGUCUUCGGAUGGAUUUGAGUAAGAGCAUAACUGUUCGGACCCGAAAGAUGGUGAACUAUGCGUGGAUAGGGUGAAGCCAGAGGAAACUCUGGUGGAGGCUCGCAGCGGUUCUG